rnacentral:tRNA from 1 species
GGGGAUAUAACUCAGUGGUAGAGUGCUUGCUUUGCAUGCAAGAAGUCUCGGGUUCGAUCCCCGAUAUCUCCA